rfam:Dipodomys ordii contig_17654, whole genome shotgun sequence.
GGGAAGUUGGCUCAGUGGUAGAGUGCUUGCCUUGCAUGCAUGAGGCGCUGGGUUCGAUUCCUCAGCACCA